rnacentral:rRNA from 1 species
GCUUGUCUCAAAGAUUAAGCCAUGCAUGUCUAAGUAUAAACAACUUUGUACUGUGAAACUGCGAAUGGCUCAUUAUAUCAGUUAUAGUCUACUCGAUAGUACCUUACUACUUGGAUAACCGUAGUAAUUCUAGAGCUAAUACAUGCGUAAAUACCCAACUGCUUGUCGGACGGGUAGCAUUUAUUAGAUUGAAACCAAUGCAGCUUCGGCUGGUAUUGUGUUGAGUCAUAAUAACUGUGCGGAUCGCAUGGCCUUGCGCCGGCGACGGUUCAUUCAAAUUUCUGCCCUAUCAACUUUCGAUGGUAAGGUAUUGGCUUACCAUGGUUUCAACGGGUAACGGAUUUUUAGGGAAAGAUCCCGGAGAGGGAGCCUGAGAAACGGCUACCACAUCCAAGGAAGGCAGCAGG